GACGAACGCUGGCGGCGUGCUUAACACAUGCAAGUCGAACGGAAAGGCCCUGCUUUUGUGGGGUUCUCGAGUGGCGAACGGGUGAGUAACACGUGAGUAACCUGCCCUUGACUUUGGGAUAACUUCAGGAAACUGGGGCUAAUACCGGAUAGGAGCUCCUGCUGCAUGGUGGGGGUUGGAAAGUUUCGGCGGUUGGGGAUGGACUCGCGGCUUAUCAGCUUGUUGGUGGGGUAGUGGCUUACCAAGGCUUUGACGGGUAGCCGGCCUGAGAGGGUGACCGGCCACAUUGGGACUGAGAUACGGCCCAGACUCCUACGGGAGGCAGCAGUGGGGAAUCUUGCACAAUGGGCGGAAGCCUGAUGCAGCAACGCCGCGUGCGGGAUGACGGCCUUCGGGUUGUAAACCGCUUUCGCCUGUGACGAAGCGUGAGUGACGGUAAUGGGUAAAGAAGCACCGGCUAACUACGUG
rnacentral:rRNA from 1 species